rnacentral:rRNA from 1 species
GCGUGCCUUUUGAAGAAUGAGCCUGCGAGUUAGUGAUGCGUGGCGAGGUUAACCCGUGGUGGGGGAGUCGUAGCGAAAGCGAGUCCGAUAAGGGCGUGAGUCGCGUGUUCUAGACCCGAAGCGGUGUGAUCUAUCCAUGGCCAGGAUGAAGCGUCGGUAAGACGUCGUGGAGGUCCGAACCCACUUCAGUUAAAAAUGGAGGGGAUGAGUUGUGGAUAGGGGUGAAAGGCCAAUCAAACACCGUGAUAGCUGGUUCUCCCCGAAAUGCAUAUAGGUGCAGCGUCGCGUGUUCCUUGCCGGAGGUAGAGCACUGGAUAGUCUAGGGGGCCCACAAGCUUACCGAAAUUAGCCAAACUCCGAAUGCCGGUAAGCCAAGCGCGGCAGUGAGACUGCGGGCGAUAAGGUUCGUAGUCGAGAGGGAAACAGCCCAGAACACCAGCUAAGGCCCCUAAGCGGUUGCUAAGUGGAAAAGGAUGUGGAGUUGCGGAGACAACCAGGAGGUUGGCUUAGAAGCAGCCAUCCUUGAAAGAGUGCGUAAUAGCUCACUGGUCAAGUGAUUCCGCGCCGAUAAUGUAGCGGGGCUUAAGUUAUCCGCCGAAGCUGUGGCAACCUGUGUGGUUGGGUAGGGGAGCGUCGUGUCAGUGGUGAAGCUGCCGGGUGACUGUGUGGUGGAGUUGAUGCGAGUGAGAAUGCAGGCAUGAGUAGCGAAUGAGGAGUGAGAAACUCCUCCACCGAAAGACCAAGGGUUCCAGGGUCAAGCUAAUCUGCCCUGGGUGAGUCGGGACCUAAGGCGAGGCCGACAGGCGUAGUCGAUGGACAACGGGUUGAUAUUCCCGUACCGGCGCUAGCACGAUCCUGCCGAGGCGAGCGAUGCUGAGCACGCGAGUCGCACGGAUCCUUCGGGUGAUGUGUCGAUGAGUCUGCGAACCAGACUUGUAUUAGGCAAGCUGCGGAGGGACGCAGGAAGGUAGCUCAACCCGGGCGAUGGUAUCCGCAAGGUGAUCCCGGGCUAAGUGUGUAGGGCGAGUCGUAGGUAAAUCCGCGGCUCACAUGGCCUGAGACAUGACGGCUGGUCGGUCUACGGACCGGCGAGUGAGUGAUCCUAUGCUGCCUAGAAAAUCUUCGUGAGCGAGUUCUAGAGCCGCCCGUACCCUAAACCGACACAGGUGGUCAGGUAGAGAAUACCAAGGUGAUCGAGAUAACCGUGGUUAAGGAACUCGGCAAAAUGCCCCCGUAACUUCGGGAUAAGGGGGGCCGGACGCGUUUGCAGGACUUGCUCCUGCUGGCGUGAAAGGCCGCAGAGACCAGGCCCAAGCGACUGUUUACUAAAAACACAGGUCCGUGCCAAGUCGUAAGACGAUGUAUACGGACUGACUCCUGCCCGGUGCUGGAAGGUUAAGAGGACCUGUUAGACGCAAGUCGAAGCGGAGAAUUUAAGCCCCAGUAAACGGCGGUGGUAACUAUAACCAUCCUAAGGUAGCGAAAUUCCUUGUCGGGUAAGUUCCGACCUGCACGAAUGGAGUAACGAUUUCCCUACUGUCUCCACCAUGAACUCGGUGAAAUUGCAUUACGAGUAAAGAUGCUCGUUACGCGCAGCAGGACGGAAAGACCCCGGGACCUUCACUAUAGUUUGGUAUUGGUGUUCGGUGCGGCUUGUGUAGGAUAGGUGGGAGACUGUGAAGCGGCGACGCCAGUCGUCGUGGAGUCAACGUUGAAAUACCACUCUGGUUGUUCUGGAUAUCUAACCUAGGUCCAUUAUCUGGAUCAGGAACAGUGCCUGAUGGGUAGUUUGACUGGGGCGGUCGCCUCCCAAAAGGUAACGGAGGCGCCCAAAGGUUCCCUCAGCCUGGUUGGCAAUCAGGUUUCGAGUGUAAGUGCACAAGGGAGCUUGACUGUGAGAGGGACACCUCGAGCAGGGACGAAAGUCGGGACUAGUGAUCUGACGGUGGCAUGUGGAAGCGCCGUCACUCAACGGAUAAAAGGUACCCCGGGGAUAACAGGCUGAUCUUGCCCGAGCGUCCAUAGCGACGGCAUGGUUUGGCACCUCGAUGUCGGCUCGUCGCAUCCUGGGGCUGGAGUCGGUCCCAAGGGUUGGGCUGUUCGCCCA